UGCGGAGUUGAUUGGGCGAAU
rnacentral:miRNA from 1 species